rnacentral:rRNA from 1 species
AGAACGAACGUUAGCGGCGCGCCUAACACAUGCAAGUCGAGCGAGAAAGGGCUUCGGCCCCGGUACAGCGGCGCACGGGUGAGUAACACGUAGAUAAUCUACCCCUGAAUGGUGGAUAACCCUCCGAAAGGAGAGCUAAUACAGCAUAAGACCACGGUUUCUUUGGAGACUGAGGCCAAAGCGGGCCACUUCAUGAAAGCUCGCGUUUGGGGAUGAGUCUGCGGCCCAUCAGUUAGUUGGCGGUGUAAUAGACCACCAAGGCUAAGACGGGUAGCUGGUCUGAGAGGAUGAACAGCCACACUGGAACUGAGACACGGCCCAGACUCCUACGGGAGGCAGCAGUGGGGAAUAUUGGACAAUGGGCGCAAGCCUGAUCCAGCCAUGCCGCGUGAGUGAUGAAGGCCUUAGGGUUGUAAGCUCGUUUUACCCGGAAGAUAAUGACGGUACGGGAGAAGUAACGCCCGGCUAACUUCGUGCCAGCAGCCGC